CCAUCUUCGAUAACGUGCAGCCUCCAGGUGUUUCUCUGGGCGUCAUUGCGAUGGAAACGCCGAGCAGGUUCACUCCACCUUAUCAAGACAC
rnacentral:pre_miRNA from 1 species